rnacentral:rRNA from 1 species
UGCAGAAUCCCGUGAACCAUCGAGUCUUUGAACGCAAGUUGCGCCCGAGGGACCCUCCCGAGGGCACGCCUGCCUCAUGGGCGUUAGAAGCCCAUCCACGCUCGGUUGCCUGAGUAACGGCAGAAGAUGCGGAUACUGGCCCUCCGAGCCGCGAGGCGCGGUGGGCCUAAGUGUGCGGCCGUCGUACGUGGCCGGGAGCGGCGAGUGGUGGGCUACUGCGCACGUCACCCCGAGCCCCGUGCCGACGCAGGGCCUUGUUUGAACCCCUAACGAGGAGCAUGCCGCUGCGGCUUCUGCUGCGCGGCGCCUUCGGACCGAUACCCCAGGUCAGGCGGGGCUACCCGCCGAGUUUAAGCAUAUAAAUAAGCGGAGGAGAAGAAACUUACAAGGAUUCCCCUAGUAACGGCGAGCGAACCGGGAGAUGCCCAGCCUUAGAAUCGAGGCGGCACCGCCGUCCGA